UAGCAAGACUACAAAUUAAUGGGCCAAG
rnacentral:sRNA from 1 species